rfam:Desulfovibrio vulgaris subsp. vulgaris str. Hildenborough, complete genome.
GGAGCCGUAGUUAAGACGGUUAUAACGCCGGCCUGUCACGCCGGAGGCCGAGGGUUCGAGUCCCUUCGGCUCCG